GCCUGGGAGACAAAGUGAGACUUAAAAGGAAAAAAAAAAAAAAGAGUGUUAUGAGCACAUUUUGUUAAAAACAAAGAAGUGUAAGUUGUGUGGGUAUAUACUCUGGGUAUCUAACAUGUUAAUAGUGCUUAAAUAAAGCUAUUAAUAUUUGCAGUUUGAAAACAAAAGUUACGAUCUCAUACUUUUUUUUGGAACCACCACAUUGAAUGGACCACAAGUAAACUUGAGCAAAUGAACUAGUAAUUGUUAAUAUAUACUUUAUUCCAUCUAGUUUACUUUGGUUUGGAGAUUCAGCUUUAUUUCCCCUGUAGGGACAGACAUCCCAAUUGCUCCCAAACCAUUUACCAAUGAGUAUAUCCUUUCCUCAUGACUUGAAGUGACACCUGUAUAAUGAACUAAUCUCCUAUAUAAACCUAAGUAUCUCUGGACCUUCCUUCAUGUUCCAUUGAUCUAUUUGUCUAUUUCUGUACUAACACCACAUGACUUAAAAUACUAUACCGUUAGUAUAUUUCGAUCAUAUCCUUCCUUUCUUGCGGUUUUAAAUUUCCUAAUGUCAUAUUUGUUUUACUAGAUUUCAUAUUUCUUUUAAAAUAAUUUUUGAAGUCUAUCAAAGUAAUACAUACAUACAGAUUUUAAAAAACCAGUUUUACAAAAGGUUUUAUAAAUCUCAAUUCCAUUGUUCAGGUCUCCAGAGUUCCCUUUUGUAAUGCUUGUUUUUACUGAUAGGAUUCAUAGGCUUAUAAAAUUAUUUCUUCAUUUAUCAGCUUGAGACAUUUUCUAGUGAUUUCUUACAAUAGAUGAGGACUUAGGUUCCUUUCAACAUCAGCUCUACCUUUCUUCUUUCUUCUCCCUUAUACUAGCCCAUUUUUGUCACAUCAGACAGCAUAAUCUUUAAAAACAUAAAUCAUAUUACUCUGUGAGUUAAAAAUGUGCCAAUAAUUUCUACAGUCACAUCAGUAUUCUUGUUCUUGGAAUACUGCAAAAUUUAAAUUUUGAUGAAAUCCAACUUAUCUGUUUUUCCAUUUGUUGCCUAAGCUUCUGAUACCAUAUCCAAGAAUCCACUGCCAAAUCGGAGUUCAUGAAGAUUUAUUCCUGUUUUAAGUGUUUUAUUUUCCUGUAUCUAUUGAGAUGAUUAUGUGGUUUUUGUAUUUUUACUAUUGAUAUGGUCUACUACAUUAAUAGAUUUUUGGAUGUUAAUCUAACCUUACAUUCCUGGGAUAAAUCCCUCUUGGUCAUUGAUAUGGUUUGGCUCUGUGUCCCCACACAAAUCUCAUCUUGAAUUAUACUCCCAUAAUUCCCACGUGUUGGAGGGACUGGUGGGAGAUAACUGAAUCAUGGGGGUGGUUUCUGCCACACUGUUCUUGUGGUAGUGAAUAAGUCUCAUGAGAUCUGAUGAUUUGAUAAGGGGAAACCCAUUUCACUUGGCUCAUUCUCCCUCUCUGCCUGCUGACAUCCAUGUAAGACAUUAUUUGCUCUUCCUUGACUUCUGCCAUGAUUGUGAGGCUUCCUGAGCCACAUGAAACUGUAAGUUCAAUUAAACCUUUAUUUUGUAAAUUGCCCAGUCUCAAGUAUGUCUUUAUCAGCAGCAUGAAAAUGAACUAAUACAGUCAUGGUAUAUACUUCUUUUACAUAUGUUGCUAAAUUUGGCUUGCCAGCAUUUUGUUGAAGAUUAAGGCAUUCAUAUUCAUAAAGAGAUGCUGGUCUGUAGUGUCUUUUUUGAUGUGCGAUGUCUCUGUCUAGUUUUGGUAUCAGAAUAAAACUGGUCUCAUAGAAUAAACUGGGAAGUGUUCCUUCCUCUUCUGUUUGUUUGGAAGAAUGUGUGAAGAAUUGAUAUUAAUUGUUUGGUGGAAUUUACCACCAGUGACGCCAUCUGAGCCUGGGCUUUUCUUUGUGCAGUUUUAUUUUAUGUAUUUUUUUUUUUUUUUUGAGAUGGGGUGCUGCUCUGUCACUCGGGCUGGAGUGCAGUGGUGUAAUCACAGUUCACUGCAGCAUCGACCUCCCAGACUCAAAUGAUCCUCCUACCUCAGCCUCCUGAGUAGCUGGGACUACAGGUGUAUGCCACCACACUCAAUUAAUUUUUGUAUAGACAGGGUUUCACCAUGUUACCCAGGCUGGUCUCUUCUGGGCUCAGGCAAUCCACCUGCCUCAGCCUCCUAAAGUGCUGGGAUUACAGGUGUGAGCCACCGUGCCUGGCUUGUGCAUAGUUUUUGAAUACUAGAUCAAUUUCCUGUUAUAGUUCUAUUCAUGCUAUCUAUUUCUUCUUCAGUCAGUUUUGGUAGUUUGUAUUUUUCUAGGAAUUUGUCCAUUUCAUCUAAGUUUUUUUAUAAGCUCAGUAGUUAAAAUAAUUUUUAAGUCUUUAAAUCAAAUACUUACAGAUUUUUAAAAAAAGUUUUAGAAAAUGUUUUAUAAUUUUUUAUUUUUAUUUUUAUUUUUUUGAGACAGAGUCUCCCUCUGUUGCCCGGGCUGGAGUGCAGUGGCGCAAUCUCGGCUCACUACAACCUCUGCCUCCCAGGUUCAAGCCAUUCUCCUGCCUCAGCCUCCUGAGUAGCUGGGACUGCAGGUGCGUGCCACCACACUCAGCUAAUUUUUCAUAUUUUUAGUAGAGACAGGGUUUCACCAUGUUAGCCAGGAUGGUCUUGAUCUCCUGACCUCAUGAUCCACCCGCCUGUUUCCCAAAGUGCUGGAAUUACAGGCGUUAGCCACUGUGCCCAGCCAUCAUUUUAUAAAUCUUAAUUCCCUUUUUCAGCUCUCCAGAGUUCCCUUUUGUAAUGCUUGUUUUUACUGAUAGGAUUGACAGGCUUAUACAAUUAUCUCUUCAUUAUCAGCUUGAGACAUUUUCUAGUGAUUUCCUGCCACAAUAGGUAACGACUACGGUUUCAUUUCUUUUUUUUUUUUUUUUUUUUUUUGAGUUGGGAGUCUCACUAUCAUCCAGGCUGGAGUAGAGCAGCAUGAUCAUAGCUCACUGCACCCUUGAACUCCUUGGCUCUAGUGAUCUUCCUGCUUCAGUCUCUUGAGUAUCUGGGACUACAGGCAUGCACCACCAUACCCACCUAAUUUUGAAUUUUCUUUUUUUGCAUAGAUGAGGUCUUGUCAUAUUGCCCAGUCUGGUCUCAGACUCCCAGCCUCAAGUGAUCCUCCCACCUUGGGAUUACAGGUGUGAGCCACCACACCCAGCACAUUUGUAAUUCCAGUAAUUUGAAUGUUUUCUCUUUUUACCCUGAUAUGUUUAGCUAAAGGUUUGUCAAUUUUGUUGAUCUUUCCAAAGAACCAGCUUUUGGUUUCACUGGUUUUCCCAGUCUCUAUUUCAUUAACUUUUGCUUUAAUCUUGAUUACAUCCUUCCUUUUGCUGUCUUCAGGUUUAGUAUGCUUUUCUUUUUCCAGUGUCUUAUGGUGGUGAAUCGAUUACUGAUUUGAGAGCUUUCUUUUUAUUGUAGGCAUUAACAGCUAUAAAUUUCCCUAGAAGCAUUGCUUGAGCUUUAUCCCAUACAUUUUGGUAUGCCAUGUCUUCAUUUUCAUUCAUCUCAAUGUAUUUCUUAGUGUAUUUUCUUAUUUCUCUUUUGAUUUCCUCUUCGGCCCACUGACUAUUUAAGAGUGAGCUGUUUGUGGGUUUUCUAAAUACCUUUCUAUUAUUGACUCUAAUUUCAUUCUAUUGUGGUCAGAGAACAUACUGUGUAUUCAUUCUAUCAUUUUAAUCUAUUGAGGUUUCAUGGCCUAGCGUGCAGAAUGUUCCUAGUGUAGUUGAGAAGAAUAUUCUGCUGUUGUUAGGUGCAGUGCUCAUCACUGGAAAUAAAGAUCACAAAAAAUGUAUAUUCUGUGUACUUUUUUUCUUUUUUUUUUUUUUAAGAUAAGGUCUCACUCUGUCACCCAGGCUGGAGUGCAGUGGCAUGAUCUUGUCUCAUUGCAUCCUCGACCUCCUGGGCUCAAGUGAUCCUUCCACCUUAGCCUCCCAGGUAGCUGGGGCUACAGGUGCAUGCCAAUGCACCCAAUUUUUUUUUAUUUUUAGCAGAGACAGGGUUUCUCCACGUUGCUCAGGCUGGGCUCAAGCUCCUGAGCUCAGACAAUCUGCCUGCCUCAGCCUACCAUGUUGAGAUUACAGGCGUGAGCCACUGCGUCCGGCCUAUGUGUACUCCUUUUGCAGCAAAUGUUGAUGGAAAUAAUUCACCAGAAAAGAAAGUAAAUAGAAGUAAAUAUAAGAUGCAAGAAACAGGCUGGGUGCAGUGGCUCACAUCUGUAAUCCCAGCAUUUUGGGAGGCUAAGGUGGG
rnacentral:lncRNA from 1 species